UAAUUGAAGAGUUUGAUCAUGGCUCAGAUUGAACGCUGGCGGCAGGCCUAACACAUGCAAGUCGAGCGGCAGCACAGAGGAACUUGUUCCUUGGGUGGCGAGCG
rnacentral:rRNA from 1 species